CGUCUUACCUGGCAGGGGAGAUACCAUGAUCACGAAGGUGGUUUUCCCAGGGGGAGGAUGUGCUGGCCCCUGCAAUUUCCCCCAAAUGUGGGAAACCCGACUGCAUAAUUUGUGGUAGUGGGGACUGCGUUCACACUCUCCCCUG
rnacentral:snRNA from 1 species